rnacentral:siRNA from 1 species
AUGAGGAGGAUCCGCAGGCGCAUG